UACGUAGGGGGCAAGCGUUGUCCGGAUUUAUUGGGCGUAAAGAGCGUGUAGGCGGUCCGGUAAGUCCGCUGUGAAAGUCGGGGGCUCAACCCUCGAAUGCCGGUGGAUACUGUCGGGCUAGAGUGCGGAAGAGGCGAGUGGAAUUCCCGGUGUAGCGGUGAAAUGCGCAGAUAUCGGGAGGAACACCAGUGGCGAAGGCGGCACUCUGGGCCGGUACUGACGCUGAGGAGCGAAAGCGUGGGGAGCGAACAGG
rnacentral:rRNA from 1 species